GUGGAUUAGAUACCCUGGUAGUCCUGGCAGUAAACGGUGCGCGUUUGGUGUGGGAGGAUUCGACCCCUCCUGUGCCGGAGCUAACGCGUUAAACGCGCCGCCUGGGGAGUACGGUCGCAAGAUUAAAACUCAAAGAAAUUGACGGGGGCCCGCACAAGCGGUGGAGUAUGUGGCUUAAUUCGAUGCAACGCGAAGAACCUUACCUGGGCUUGACAUGUAUCUCUAAGUCGGUGAAAGCCGGCGAGUGUAGCAAUACACGAUUUACACAGGUGCUGCACGGUUGUCGCCAACU
rnacentral:rRNA from 1 species